rnacentral:rRNA from 1 species
AUGAUUUGCUCCUCCUCUGCCAGCGUCAAGGGACCCUGCCGCCCCGCGUUCUCUGGGCCGGCUUCCCCCUCCUGCUCCGGGCCGCUGCAGCUUGUCUCUGAGCCUUCUGCUCUGGCCGCGUCUUCCGGCCUCCCUGCCUCUUUGCCCGCGUCCUCCGGGCUCCCUGGCUCCUCACUCGUGCUCUCCGGGCUCCCUGACUCUUCUGCUUCGCGCUCCGCUUCUUUGUCCGCUGCCGUCCCGUUGUCUGGUCACCCUUCCCUGCGGUCGUCCGGCGCCGUCUGCUACCUCCCCAGGUCCGGCGAGAUCGCUGCGGCGAAGAUGACGCUCCGCAAGGCUUUGGUGGCCACUGUGGCGGGGAACCGAUCCGGGGUCUCCUGCGACGAGGUCACCGCGCUCCUCCGCCGCCAAUUCGACUUGCCGGCUUCGGCCUUCUCUGUCCACCCCCGUCAUCCGGAGGGAUUUCUCAUCCGGUUUGCCAACCGCGAGACACGUGCCCGGGUGGCGGCGGCUCGUGUCAGCUCGCCUCGAUUUUGUCUUCUGCUCCAUCCCUGGAGCAGCAUCGCCGGCGGUGAGCCCGUUCGUGUGGUCUUUCGUGUUGACAUUGUCGGAUUUAGGGUUCCGGCAGACCCUUGA